UCAUUAAGUGGUUGCAUGCUACUUAAUAGUUUCUCCUCUAUUUCUCCUUUGUAAAUAAACUUUGGCGCGUACUUCGGUACGCGCAUUUUU
rnacentral:ncRNA from 1 species